GUCUAUUUGAAGGCUUUCGGAAAACCAUCAAUCCUGACAAGAAAAAUAUUGUUAGACUUAUUGAUGAAAUGAACAACAAGAAGCUAACUUGGGAAGAAUUUGCGACUCAAGUUAGGGGCUUACAUGUAAACAGGACAGGAGCACCAAAUGCUAGAGUUGUUGGUGAUUCACCAAAAUUGGAGGAAAAUUUCUAUGCAAAUCCUUUCCCUGGUUGUGUUUGUCCAAGACCUGAAGAGAAGAGCAAAUGACUAAUGAGGUAUUAGAAACAAUAGAAGGCAAUAUAGGCCUAAUUGCUUAUAGGCUUCCAAUGGCUAAAUUUUGCAAUCUCAGUCGCAGAUGGAGAAGUCUCUGAUGAGUAAGUUUCUCCUCCGCUGCACAGAGCCAAAGACCAGUUAACUCGGAGCCAUAUCAGAUUUAUUGUAUAUAUCAUACUCAGCUUGCUGAUUCUUCACUAAUUGAACAUUUAGAACGGGAAAAUCCAUAAAAAAUCAAGUACAAUUACUCAAUAGACAGAUGCUUAUACAAAUCAAGUUUACAUCUAAGCCAUCAGAUUA